UACACUGGCUAAUGAUUUGUCUGCCUUUAUUUUUUUUAUUAAUGCUACUGUUUAUUUCUGUCUUCAAACUCAUUACAAAUGCAAUUGUCUUAACUAGAAUUAUUGCUUGAGUGGUUUCUUUUUCAGAAUGUUUUCCUGGUUAUCAUGCUCUGAGCUGCCAUUUUAAUUGCAAGUGUCAGAACAGUGGAAUUUGCAGCAGGUUUUCUAGAAGCUGUGAGUGCCUCCCAGGUUAUUAUGGAAGAGACUGCGAACAUGGUAAACCAAGAAAAUGAGUGGGCAUAUUAUGGUGUUGAUAUAUUUUAAGUUUUAAAAACUAUUUUUUAAAUCAUAGACAUAAUACAUUCACAUUAUAUCAAAUUAGAUAAACAAUAGUUUAAUGUAUAUUCUUGCAAUGUAUUUUAUAGCUCUAAUUUAAGUUGUGGGUGUUGACAACUGGCAUGAUGAAGUAAUUGGACUUCUUUUUUCUUUUUGGAAUAGUCGUUCAAAAGAAUUUCUAUGGUUCUAUGAUUAUCUAGAGUAGAUACGGGCAGACACACACAGUGGAGUCAGCUGUUGGUCUUUUUGAAUGAAAUCAUUCUCCUUCCCCUGGCUGCCUUUAGACAGAAUAUAGACAAAGAAGCUGCUUAUUUAUUUCAUGUUAACCUAGGCUUAACUCUAAAAGAUCUGCCUUCAAGUUUCCUUUGAAUGUAUUUAUUUAUAUCACUUCUUCAUUUGGACUCAAUGUUUUCAACUAAAUUGGGAAAAGGAAGAAUUAUGCAAUAAUUUGUCUUUGACAUCAGAGAGCCCUGAUGGACAACACACAGAAAUUAAGAUAUGAGAGUUUAAUCUCCAGAAUUAGUUGUAUAUGGCCUGGCUCUACCAUAUAAAAUAUGUAUAAACAAAACUUCUGUAAGUUUCAGUUUCCUCAUCUAUAGAAUGGGGAUGAUAAUAACACCUGCCUUAAAAGGUUAUCAUGAGGAACAAAUAAGAAGAUACAUGUAAGCAUUUAGCACUGAGGCAUGUUGUAAAAACGUGAUGAACAUGAAUUACUUAGAAGUAAAGAAUUUAUAAAGCCUCUGUAGUGAUAUUAACAAUAUUUUAAAUUGUUUCCACUUGUUUCAACCUGUCUUUAGGCUCUAGAAAACAUAUUUCACAGAAACAAAUCCUACUAAUCCUUUCCAGGUUUAGAAUUCUUGCCAACUACUCUGAUGUUUCUUGGGUUAGGGAGUAUGGAAGUUUUUGUUCAUUUUGUUUUCAAAAUUGGAAUUAGAGAUACCAAAGAUGGAAAAAUAUCUAUUCAAGCCCCAUAAAUUUCAUCUUACAUGCAGUAGGGUAGCAAGUAAAAUUUUGAGCAAAGGACAUCACUUUGGUGAAAGAAAUCUCUAAAGUGGAUACAUUAUUAACUGUUAGGAAAAGGAACCAUUUGUUGUGUCCAUGUAGGAAGCUGUAGUGAUAGUCUAGGAUUUCAAAAAUCUAUUCUGGGAUCAAAAUGUAAAUGAAUGAACAGAAAAAUAUCUUGGAAGAACAAUUGACUGUAUUUGGCAAUCGAUUUGGACAUGUAAAUGAGGAAGAUGUAGGAAUCCAAGAUAACUCUAAAGGUCUAAGCCAGGGGACCUGGAAGAAUGAUAGUAUUAUUUAGACAAAUGGAAACUUGGAGCAAGCCAAACUUUAUGAGCUCGUUUUUAUAUAUAAUUCAAAUAGGGGAGAUAAAGGAGAUUUGAUUUUUUUAUGUAUUGUCAACGACGAUUAUAUAACAAUGAACAGAAGAAACCCUGCACUGAAUCUUCCUUUAUUAUUCAUUUUUUUGAGUUAAAAUGAGGUUAGAAAAUGGAAGACUGUAUAUUAUAUAAAAUAAUAUAUAUCAAAUUAGAUAUUUGAUAUAUUUUCCUCAUCCUCAUCUCUUUUGGUUUUACCUCAUUUUUCUGCUCUCUGAAUGUGAGUUUUUCCUAAUGUUAAAUCUGUCCUGAGUAGCUCCAUUCAUGCUGAAGAAGUGUCACACACAUGAAGCCUCGGCACAUCCAACUCUAGGUUGGGGGGAUCAGGAGACACAGAGAGAGAAAGAAAGAGGAGAGAGCAGGAGUGAGAGGGAGAGCAAGAGAGAGCAAGAGAGAGUGGAUAAUUGAAGGGUGAGGAAAUUGCAUGCCCCUUCUGUUCCCAAUGGUGAGUGGUGACCACAGCCCCAGCAAAAACUCAAGGUAGGGAAUGGGAAUCCUUUGACUGCAGUCAAACUUAGCUCUCACCUAUGUCCCUCAGGGUGAGCAUCUCCCUGGGCAGAGGACAAUUUUAGCAUUCCAAGAAAUGCAUUUGCUUGGAUGACAUAGGCUGUAAAUCUAAACCAAUUACUUCUGAUGUUCAGACACAAAAGUACUGAUCUCCAACCAUGGAGGAAAAGCAUGUUAUAUUGGACUUACUAAGAAGCAGUUCUAUAUCAUACUCUAUAGGCUAUCUAAGGAAAAUUUUCAGAGAUUAAAUUUCACUGACUUUAAAACAUAACUUCUUCAUAAGAUGUUAACCUACUACAUAUGCAUCAUAUUCUCUGUCUUCUAUUUCCUUUAUCUCUCCUUUUCUUCUCCUGUCUCCCUCACACCCACUUCUGUCAUCCAUUCCAGGACUUUAAAUAUCAAGAGCUGCGUGAAUCACCUUCCACAAAUACUCUCUUACCUAUUUUAAGAAUUUUAAAUUCGCACUAAAUUUAGCCUGGAUCUGAAGUUAGAAAACAUUGCUAUUUUAGGUGUUUAGGUUAUUAGAGGGUUUUGAUGAAGUCUUUGUCAGAUUAUAACACAUUCUAGCAAAUAAAUUUUAUCUACUUGAAGAUAUUUAAAAUUUUCUUAUGGACUUUUCUAGACUAGUUGUAGAGAAUGGCACUGAUAUAUUCGCAUCUCUGCAUGACAAAUGUAUUAUUGUCAACAUGCUUCUCCAUGUAAUUUUGUCUUGCUUUUCAAUUCUGUGCUCUUCUCUCCUUCUUUGGUCCUGAUAAAGACGUGACCUAGAGCAUAUCCUUUAAUUUUGUCCGUUUUUAUUCUUAAAUCCAAAAUAGCAUUUUGACAUUUUCAUUUUCUAGCAUGCCUUCCUGGAUUUUAUGGUUUGAAUUGUGCUCACAUCUGUGACUGCAAAAACAGAGCCAACUGUGAUGCAGCAGUUGGACAAUGCAUUUGCCCAGCAGGUUUCCACGGUAGCCAAUGUGAAAAAGAAUGCAGGUCAGGCCAGUAUGGACCCAACUGCUCUCUGAAGUGCCAGUGUGUCCACACAGCUCACUGUGACCCUCUCAAUGGGAGCUGCACUUGCCCCCCACCCGCCAAGAGAAUGGGUCCAACCUGAGAGGAAUAUGGUGUGGACAAUCCUCAAUAGCCAAACACUAACAGCUUCUCAGUGGACGAAUAGAAUUUUGCUGAGGUUCACCCAUGGUUCAUCAUCUUAACUUUGGCAGGGAAAUAUACUUACUCAACCGUCUUCAGCCCAGCCUCGCCUGUUGUGAGGUGAAAAACAGGACGUCUCAACUUUAUGGCCUCCAAGCAUAAGUUCCAUUCUCUAGCCUACCCUUCCCAACUUCCUUUUGCUGCAUAACAUGCCCAAGAAAAUGAGAAUGUUUUUUCAAGAUCCCAAAUCGUAGUAACAUUUUGGACUAAUAAAUGAAACUUUUUAUAUGCACAGGAGGUAUUUAAAUUUGGAAGUAAGAACUGCUUUUCAGUUCAGGUUGGAUAGCCUCACACCUAUUUACUGAAGACCUCAGUGGCCAUUAAGUAGCUGGAUCCUCUUGAGAAAUGUCUAGAAUUUCAUCUAUGUGUCCUCGGUAUCCUGCUUCACAACUAAGUCAGCUUCAGAUUGUUAAUGCGUUGUAUUUCAAACAUGACGUUUGGUGUGGGAGGCUAUUAAGACUUUAGCCACAUAAAUAUCAGGGUAAAAGUAUGACGUGCAGACUUACAAUGAAUCAUCAAAAUGUUUAGUGGUGUUCUCCCAAUCACUGGUCAGCAGACAGGAAGAAAAAGUGAGUAGAAGUGAUCAAGGCAAGUGCUUAGCCUGCUCUGAGGGACACAAAUUUCCCAUGGAGUAGGGCCUGACUGGAAGGAGGAUUUUAAUCUACACUGUAAUCUUGACCCAAAUUGUUCAUCGUUUAGGUCAGCUCUACAACAUUUGUAAGCAUAAGCCCUGUGAUGAGCCCCAGAAAGACACAGCAAUAAAUAUGAUUGUAUUUUUUGCUCUCAACUGGUUUAUACGUGUUUAAAAUUUCAGACGACUGGUUAAUUCACUUUAGAGGACAAAAAUUUUCUUGAUUGGAAAUGUUGUUACUCACGUUAUCCAUGCUUUAUUGGGAUAAACAUAGAGAAUACUGAAAUUAUAUGACUAGAUAUUUGACUUAUAUACUGCCUAGAGUAGUUUUAAAUCAAAAUCUAUUUAAGAUAGACUUGACUAAAGGAUUUAUGAAAAAUACUUAGUGUUAUCAAUUCAGUAGAGUUUCUGAGCUUUACUUAACAUUCAUCUUCCUAUAUCUCAGCACAUUUAACAGAGAUAUAGCAUACCUAUAAUAGGCAGCCAUGUCAAAUUUAAUGUUAUUAAAUAAUAUGAAGGACUUGAUUAGAUAACUUCCUAAGAGAUUACUUAUAAAUUUGCUUUGGUCUUAAAAAAGCUGCAAUCAGCUUAUCCUUUUCUAUUCUCUAUCUACAGUAUUUGAAAUUAAAGUUUUUUGUUUAUAUUUAAAUUAUUUUUAUCCCAUCAGUGGAAAACUAUGCUUUAUUCUCAAUAUUUGCUCAUUUUCCUUACCUUUUAUUUUUCAAGCUUCUCUCAGCUAUCCUCAUCUGACCUGCAAAGACAAUAAGAUAUAUAAAAGCAGCAUUCUUUCUUGGGCUGCCAUCCACCACUGAACUCCCUUCAUUUCAAGACUUAAAAAAAACAAUGACUGCAAACAGGGAAGAAAAGCAAGACACCAGGUUUCUCUUCCUUACUAGAGAUGUUGUUAUCACCAGUAAGACAGACAAGAAUUUGGCACGAAAAAAAAGUGAAAAAACAUCAGUGCUUUAACUGCUCCUGAUAUCCUCUGCUAACAUCCUCUGAAAGUGCCCCAGAUAAACAGUGAGUCCUUUUCAUAAUUACCGAAGCUAUAGCUGUU